UGAAAGAAAAAAUGUAUACAUAUAAUUUUCCAGUUUUGAAUCACAAAAACUUAUUACAUAGUUCUAGGACAUUAAUUUUUUUUUUUGAGACAGGGUUUUUCUGUAGCUUUGGAACUAGUUCUUGAAGACCAGGCUGGCCUUGAACUCACAGAGAUCCGACUGGCUCUGCCUCCCAAGUGCUGGGAUUAAAGGUAUGCAGCACUACCGCCUGGUUUAGAACAUUAAUUUCAACAAACAACAUAAUUUAACAUAUGCUUUUCAAAAGUAACACUGUCAUGGCACAAAUGUAAACAUCACAAGCAAACCCUGGGCAUAAGUAACGGAUAUGAAACUCAGUAGGAAACUAUAAAGAGAAACGCGCUAACAGUGUGUCAUACACUUCUAUAUUCCUAAAGGGUCCUUAAAGGCAGACGACAAACCCACUUCAGUUUGUGAAGGCUAUAAAUAGAUUAACUCUUGUCAGACCAACUCUUCAGAGGCAACAGUGUGAAGGGCUUAGUGAGACCACAGAAGUCAACUCCUCAGAGGCAGGGGACAACGACUCCAGACAAGAAGAUUCUAGAGAUGACUUGAGCUGAGGAGGGAAACAUUAGGUGGCUCUUGGUCUAAAAGGAGGCCAUAACUGCUGCUACCCAAAGCAGGCAGACCCCUAACAGAAAUCCUGCAGUUGAUUAUCUCGCCUGAAGAACAGAGCAGUGUUUAGGGCAACAAGUGAGGGAGAAAUCUGAGAAAGCAGCGUGUGGCAGAUGCUGUGCACACUUAUCCUGAAUCCACUCCUACAUGGGAAAGACUUAGAUCUGAGCUGCUACUGAAGAAACAGUUUAUGGGGGGAUCUCAUUGAGCCCUGAAAUCAUAAGCACACAAGUAACAUCAUACAGACUGAACCAUUUGUGUUUAGAAGAGAAUGAACAUGUAUGUAUGUAUGUAUGUAUGUUGCAACAAUGAAAGAGGUCAGAGGCCAUGCAUCUAAGAAAGAGCCAAGGGGGUGGGUUGAGAUGCAUGGAGGGAUAAAGGGAGGAAAGAUGUAAAGUGAGUAUAGCCAAAUAACUGCUUAAUGAAUCCCUAAGUCAGCACUCUCUAGAGAAACGGCAUUCAUUCAUCAACCCACAAAUCUAUGAAUCUCAGAAAGCAAAGUAAUAAGAAAAUUCAACAUGUUUUAACGAGUCACAACUUACAAUGUUAAUAAAAGCAUCAAUAAUUACCAUUGGUGAAGUAGAAGAAAAUAGGCUCACAAAAAUUAUAUAUAUGUAUGCAGAGAAAAACUAAAGAAGAAAGAACCCAAACAAAAAUUCUGGAUUGCUAACUACCUUAAAGAGAACAGAAGAAGAAGAAGAAUUUAGGAUUUAUUAAAAUGGGGAGAGAGAAAACAAAUGGUUUACUCUGAAUACAUGCUUUAUAUAUUGGCCCAGAAACUGCUAAGGAUUCUGUUUCUUAAUGACGAGACACAUCAUGAAAUGCAACAUUAGCAGAGGGGAGAGGAAAAGUGAGUUCAAGGCUAGCCUGGGCUACAUAAGACCCUGUCUCAAAAGACAAUAAAACCAAUGCAGUAAUAGAUAGAGCUAAGAGGAGAAAGAAUUCAAUAAUUCUAAUUAGCUUUUUUUUUUUUUUUU